UAGUCGCCGUCAUGUAAAAUUGGCACCGUGUUUUUUGUAGAAAUUUUUUUAAAUAUCAGCCGCGUUCACUCGAGAUGACGUUUUUCAAUAAGCGGAAUAAAAAUCCUUUCCAAAUAUCCACUACUGUCCUACCUUUUAUUGUGUUUGCACUGUAUAAUCCUGACCUUCACAUUAUUCAAGAUUAUUUACAUUGUUAAUCCGCCAUCAUGGUUUCUAUGAGGAUCCUUUAUUUACAUAACAUUCGUUACUCUCCGGCAAUGUCCGUGUCAUUGAUGUGAUACAGUUUCCCGCGCUUUUUACAUGUAAACAAUAACACGAGUUGUGUAAUCGACAAGAUAAAUAUGUUACCUGAAUAUGACCCGGAGAAUGGACAGAAUGGUGUUUACACGAAGAAACAAUGAAAUAAAAAGAUGUUGAAACCAGUAUAUCACAGAUGUUGAAACUACGGUAUAUCACAGAUGUUGAAAGUAGGGUAUAUCACAGAUGUUGAAACUAUAUCACAGAUGUUGAAACUAUAUCACAGAUGUUGAUUUAAUGUAUACAGGAUGGGUUAAUAGCAAUCACUCAACUAACUGUCCAGAAACUGUUAUCAAAGAAUCAGUAACCGAAGAUUAAACAAAGGUAUGUUAAGAAAGUCCUCCUGAGCUGUAAAGAAAUGUAGACAGUUCCCAUGUAUAAAGCUGUAUCAGUUCUGAAACUGCCAGUAAAAUAGUUGCAUGUACAUGUACCUACACUUUCUUUAAAAAAAAUAUAAAAAAAACAA